GAAAUUAUACUUUAUAUAGAAGGUCUAAUUUGCACUUAGCUAGAGAAUUAAUUCUAAUUUCA
rnacentral:tRNA from 1 species